GUUGUAUGGUUAAGUGACUAAGCGUACACGGUGGAUGCCUUGGCAGUCAGAGGCGAUGAAAGACGUAGUAACUUGCGAUAAGCCCAGAUUAGGUAGUAACAACCAUUUGAGUCUGGGAUUUCUGAAUGGGGAAACCCACGUGCAUAAGCACGUAUCCUUACCUGAAUACAUAGGGUAAGGAGGCGAACCGGGGGAACUGAAACAUCUAAGUACCCCGAGGAAAAGAAAUCAACCGAGAUUCCGAAAGUAGCGGCGAGCGAAAUUGGACUAGCCCUUAAGCUUUACACGCGUUAGACGAACGGUCUGGAAAGUCCGACGAUACAGGGUGAUAGUCCCGUAGUUGACGACGUGUGUUCAGUGAAAUCGAGUAGGGCGGGACACGUGAUAUCCUGUCUGAAUAUGGGGGGACCAUCCUCCAAGGCUAAAUACUACUGACUGACCGAUAGUGAACCAGUACCGUGAGGGAAAGGCGAAAAGAACCCCUGUGAGGGGAGUGAAAUAGAACCUGAAACCGUGUACGUACAAGCAGUAGGAGCACCUUCGUGGUGUGACUGCGUACCUUUUGUAUAAUGGGUCAGCGACUUAUAUUCAGUGGCAAGGUUAACCAUCUAGGGGAGCCGUAGGGAAACCGAGUCUUAACUGGGCGUUCAGUCUCUGGAUAUAGACCCGAAACCAGGUGAUCUAGCCAUGGGCAGGUUGAAGGUUGAGUAACAUCAACUGGAGGACCGAACCGACUAAUGUUGAAAAAUUAGCGGAUGACUUGUGGCUAGGGGUGAAAGGCCAAUCAAACCUGGAGAUAGCUGGUUCUCCCCGAAAGCUAUUUAGGUAGCGCCUCGGACGAAUACUACUGGGGGUAGAGCACUGUUAAGGCUAGGGGGUCAUCCCGACUUACCAACCCUUUGCAAACUCCGAAUACCAGUAAGUACUAUCCGGGAGACACACGGCGGGUGCUAACGUCCGUCGUGGAGAGGGAAACAACCCAGACCGCCAGCUAAGGUCCCAAAUUACUACUAAGUGGGAAACGAUGUGGGAAGGCUCAGACAGCCAGGAUGUUGGCUUAGAAGCAGCCAUCAUUUAAAGAAAGCGUAAUAGCUCACUGGUCGAGUCGGCCUGCGCGGAAGAUGUAACGGGGCUAAGUAGUAAACCGAAGCUGCGGCAAUGUGCUUUUGCACAUUGGGUAGGGGAGCGUUCUGUAAGCGGUUGAAGGUGUGUGGUAACGCAUGCUGGACGUAUCAGAAGUGCGAAUGCUGACAUGAGUAACGAUAAAGGGGGUGAAAAACCUCCUCGCCGGAAGACCAAGGGUUCCUGUCCAACGUUAAUCGGGGCAGGGUAAGUCGACCCCUAAGGCGAGGCCGAAAGGCGUAGUCGAUGGGAAACGGGUUAAUAUUCCCGUACUUCUUACAAUUGCGAUGGGGGGACGGAGAAGGCUAGGUGGGCCUGGCGACGGUUGUCCAGGUUCAAGUGCGUAGGCUUAAGAGUUAGGUAAAUCCGGCUCUUUUUAAGGCUGAGACACGACGUCGAGCACCUACGGGUGUGAAGUCAUUGAUGCCAUGCUUCCAGGAAAAGCCUCUAAGCUUCAGAUUGUAAGGAAUCGUACCCCAAACCGACACAGGUGGUCGGGUAGAGAAUACCAAGGCGCUUGAGAGAACUCGGGUGAAGGAACUAGGCAAAAUGGUACCGUAACUUCGGGAGAAGGUACGCUCUUGAUGGUGAAGUCCCUCGCGGAUGGAGCUGACGAGAGUCGCAGAUACCAGGUGGCUGCAACUGUUUAUUAAAAACACAGCACUGUGCAAAAUCGUAAGAUGACGUAUACGGUGUGACGCCUGCCCGGUGCCGGAAGGUUAAUUGAUGGGGUUAGACUUCGGUCGAAGCUCUUGAUCGAAGCCCCGGUAAACGGCGGCCGUAACUAUAACGGUCCUAAGGUAGCGAAAUUCCUUGUCGGGUAAGUUCCGACCUGCACGAAUGGCGUAAUGAUGGCCACGCUGUCUCCACCCGAGACUCAGUGAAAUUGAAAUCGCUGUGAAGAUGCAGUGUACCCGCGGCUAGACGGAAAGACCCCGUGAACCUUUACUACAGCUUGGCACUGAACAUUGACCCUACAUGUGUAGGAUAGGUGGGAGGCUUUGAAGCAGGUACGCCAGUAUCUGUGGAGCCGUCCUUGAAAUACCACCCUUGUAGUGUUGAUGUUCUAACGUCGACCCCUAAUCGGGGUUGCGGACAGUGCCUGGUGGGUAGUUUGACUGGGGCGGUCUCCUCCCAAAGAGUAACGGAGGAGCACGAAGGUGGGCUAAUCACGGUUGGACAUCGUGAGGUUAGUGCAAUGGCAUAAGCCCGCUUGACUGCGAGAAUGACAAUUCGAGCAGGUGCGAAAGCAGGUCAUAGUGAUCCGGUGGUUCUGAAUGGAAGGGCCAUCGCUCAACGGAUAAAAGGUACUCCGGGGAUAACAGGCUGAUACCGCCCAAGAGUUCAUAUCGACGGCGGUGUUUGGCACCUCGAUGUCGGCUCAUCACAUCCUGGGGCUGAAGUCGGUCCCAAGGGUAUGGCUGUUCGCCAUUUAAAGUGGUACGCGAGCUGGGUUUAGAACGUCGUGAGACAGUUCGGUCCCUAUCUGCCGUGGGCGUUGGAAGAUUGAAGGGGGCUGCUCCUAGUACGAGAGGACCGGAGUGGACGAACCUCUGGUGUUCGGGUUGUGUCGCCAGACGCAUUGCCCGGUAGCUAAGUUCGGAAUCGAUAACCGCUGAAAGCAUCUAAGCGGGAAGCGAGCCCUGAGAUGAGUCUUCCCUGAUACUUUAAGUAUCCUAAAGGGUUGUCGGAGACUACGACGUUGAUAGGUCAGGUGUGUAAGUGCUGUGAGGCAUUGAGCUAACUGAUACUAAUUGCCCGUGAGGCUUAACCAUACAACACCCAAGGGGUUU
rnacentral:rRNA from 1 species